GAUGAACGCUAGCUACAGGCUUAACACAUGCAAGUCGAGGGACCGGCGCACGGGUGAGUAACACGUAUCCAACCUGCCCUUUACUCGGGGAUAGCCUUUCGAAAGAAAGAUUAAUACCCGAUAUAAAGGAUGGGGAUGCGUUCCAUUAGGUUGUUGGUGAGGUAACGGCUAACCAAGCCUUCGAUGGAUAGGGGUUCUGAGAGGAAGGUCCCCCGCAAUGGAACUGAGACACAGUCCAAAAUCGUACGGGAGGCAGGGGUGAGGAAUAUUGGGGAAUGAAGGCUAGCCUGAACAAGCCAAGUAGAGUGAAGGAUGAAGGCUUAUGGGUCGUAAACUUCUUUUAAAUAAGAAUAGGUAUUAUAUGAAUAAGGAUCGGCUAACUCCGUGCCAGCAGCCGCGGUAAUUC
rnacentral:rRNA from 1 species